rnacentral:misc_RNA from 1 species
UUGUUUUUGUUAUGAUAUUACAUUCAUUACUAACAGUUUGUGAUGGCCGAAGCCACAGUUCACGGUGUAUAUGGAAGCCCUCAUCUUGCGAUAAGGGCAGAUCUAACCCAAUGAUUUGCAUCAAUGGGCACUAUUAAUGAUCCUUCCGCAGGUUCACCUACGGAAA